rnacentral:tRNA from 1 species
UCCCUGGUGGUCCAGUGGUUAGGACUGGGUGCUGUCACUGCUGUGACCUGGGUUUGAGCCCUGGUCAAGGAA